CUGUAGCUCAGAUGGAAGAGCGCCGGGUUGUGGCUCCGGUGACCAAGGGUUCGAUUCCCUUCAG
rnacentral:tRNA from 1 species